CAGUCGCCACGGUAAUACGGAGGGUGCGAGCGUUAACCGGAAUAACUGGGCGUAAAGGGCACGCAGGCGGUGACUUAAGUGAGGUGUGAAGGCCCCGGGCUUAACCUGGGAAUCGCAUUUCAUACUGGGUCGCUAGAGUACUUUAGGGAGGGGUAGAAUUCCACGUGUAGCGGUGAAAUGCGUAGAGAUGUGGAGGAAUACCGAAGGCGAAGGCAGCCCCUUGGGAAUGUACUGACGCUCAUGUGCGAAAGCGUGGGGAGCAAACAGGAUUAGAUACCCCUGUAGUCCCUGUCUCUUAUAC
rnacentral:rRNA from 1 species